rnacentral:rRNA from 1 species
AUGCACGCUGGCGGCGUGCCUAAUACAUGCAAGUCGAGCGAACAGAUGAGGAGCUUGCUCCUCUGACGUUAGCGGCGGACGGGUGAGUAACACGUGGAUAACCUACCUAUAAGACUGGGAUAACUACGGGAAACCGGAGCUAAUACCGGAUAAUAUAUUGAACCGCAUGGUUCAAUAGUUAAAGACGGUUUUGCUGUCACUUAUAGAUGGAUCCGCGCCGCAUUAGCUAGUUGGUAAGGUAACGGCUUACCAAGGCAACGAUGCGUAGCCGACCUGAGAGGGUGAUCGGCCACACUGGAACUGAGACACGGUCCAGACUCCUACGGGAGGCAGCAGUAGGGAAUCUUCCGCAAUGGGCGAAAGCCUGACGGAGCAACGCCGCGUGAGUGAUGAAGGUCUUCGGAUCGUAAAACUCUGUUAUUGGGGAAGAACAAAUGUGUAAGUAACUAUGCACGUCUUGACGGUACCUAAUCAGAAAGCCACGGCUAACUACGUG